rnacentral:rRNA from 1 species
UGGGGAAUUUUUCGCAAUGGGCGCAAGCCUGACGAAGCAACGCCGCGUGGAGGAUGAAGGUCUUCGGAUUGUAAACUCCUGUCGACCGGGACGAAUGCACUCGACCUAAUACGUCGAGUUGUUGACGGUACCGGUGGAGGAAGCCACGGCUAACUCUGUGCCAGCAGCCGCGGUAAUACAGAGGUGGCAAGCGUUGUUCGGAAUUACUGGGCGUAAAGGGCGCGUAGGCGGCCGACUAAGUCAGACGUGAAAUCCCAUGGCUCAACCGGGGAACUGCGUCUGAUACUGGAUGGCUUGAGGUUGGGAGAGGGAUGCGGAAUUCCAGGUGUAGCGGUGAAAUGCGUAGAUAUCUGGAGGAACACCGGUGGCGAAGGCGACAUCCUGGACCAAUUCUGACGCUGAGGAGCGAAAGCCAGGGGAGCAAACGGGAUUAGAUACCCCCGUAGUCCCUGAGCGGGCUGGCAAGGCGCAU